rnacentral:rRNA from 1 species
GAUGAACGCUGGCGGCGUGCCUAAUACAUGCAAGUCGAGCGAAUGGAUUAAGAGCUUGCUCUUAUGAAGUUAGCGGCGGACGGGUGAGUAACACGUGGGUAACCUGCCCAUAAGACUGGGAUAACUCCGGGAAACCGGGGCUAAUCCCGGAUAACAUUUUGAACCGCAUGGUUCGAAAUUGAAAGGCGGCUGCGGCUGUCACUUAUGGAUGGACCCGCGUCGCAUUAGCUAGUUGGUGAGGUAACGGCUCACCAAGGCAACGAUGCGUAGCCGACCUGAGAGGGUGAUCGGCCACACUGGGACUGAGACACGGCCCAGACUCCUACGGGAGGCAGCAGUAGGGAAUCUUCCGCAAUGGACGAAAGUCUGACGGAGCAACGCCGCGUGAGUGAUGAAGGCUUUCGGGUCGUAAAACUCUGUUGUUAGGGAAGAACAAGUGCUAGUUGAAUAAGCUGGCACCUUGACGGUACCUAACCAGAAAGCCACGGCUAACUACGUGCCAGCAGCAGCCGCAG